rnacentral:rRNA from 1 species
CGGCAACAGCUCAAAUUUGAAAUCUGGCUCUUUUAGGGUCCGAGUUGUAAUUUGUAGAAGAUGCUUCGGGUGUGGCUCCGGUCUAAGUUCCUUGGAACAGGACGUCAUAGAGGGUGAGAAUCCCGUAUGUGACUGGUUGCCUUCGCCCAUGUGAAGCUCUUUCGAC